rnacentral:rRNA from 1 species
UACGUAGGGCGCAAGCGUUAUCCGGAAUUAUUGGGCGUAAAGAGCUCGUAGGCGGUUUGUCGCGUCUGCUGUGAAAACCCGGGGCUCAACCCCGGGCCUGCAGUCGAUACGGGCAGACUAGAGUGCGGUAGGGGAGACUGGAAUUCCUGGUGUAGCGGUGAAAUGCGCAGAUAUCAGGAGGAACACCGGUGGCGAAGGCGGGUCUCUGGGCCGUAACUGACGCUGAGGAGCGAAAGCGUGGGGAGCGAACAGG